rnacentral:rRNA from 1 species
UACGUAGGUGGCAAGCGUUGUCCGGAUUUACUGGGCGUAAAGAGCGCGCAGGCGGUCGUUCAAGUCGCGUGUGAAAGCCCCCCGGCUCAACUGGGGAGGGUCACGCGAUACUGAUCGACUCGAAGGCAGGAGAGGGUAGUGGAAUUCCCGGUGUAGUGGUGAAAUGCGUAGAUAUCGGGAGGAACACCAGUGGCGAAGGCGACUACCUGGCCUGUUUCUUGACGCUGAGGCGCGAAAGCUAGGGGAGCAACGGG